rnacentral:rRNA from 1 species
UACGGAGGGUGCGAGCGUUGUCCGGAAUCAUUGGGCGUAAAGGGCGCGUAGGCGGCUUCUCAAGCGUGCGGUGAAAGUCAGGGGCUCAACCCCUGAUCGGCCGUGCGAACUGGGGGGCUGGAGCACUGUAGAGGCAGGCGGAAUUCCGGGUGUAGCGGUGGAAUGCGUAGAGAUCCGGAAGAACACCGAUGGCGAAGGCAGGUCUCUGGGCUGACACUGACGCUCAUGCACGAAAGCGUGGGGAGCAAACAGG